UGGGGAAUUUUGGACAAUGGGCGAAAGCCUGAUCCAGCAAUGCCGCGUGUGUGAAGAAGGCCUUCGGGUUGUAAAGCACUUUUGUCCGGAAAGAAAUCCUUGGCUCUAAUACAGUCGGGGAUGACGGUACCGGAAGAAUAAGCACCGGCUAACUACGUGCCAGCAGCCGCGGUAAUACGUAGGGUGCAAGCGUUAAUCGGAAUUACUGGGCGUAAAGCGUGCGCAGGCGGUUUGCUAAGACCGAUGUGAAAUCCCCGGGCUCAACCUGGGAACUGCAUUGGUGACUGGCAGGCUAGAGUAUGGCAGAGGGGGGUAGAAUUCCACGUGUAGCAGUGAAAUGCGUAGAGAUGUGGAGGAAUACCGAUGGCGAAGGCAGCCCCCGUGGGCCAAUACUGACGCUCAUGCACGAAAAGCGUGGGGAGCAAACAGGAUUAGAUACCCUGGUAGUCCACGCCCUAAACGAUGUCAACUAGUUGUUGGGGAUUCAUUUCCUUAGUAACGUAGCUAACGCGUGAAGUUGACCGCCUGGGGAGUACGGUCGCAAGAUUAAAACUCAAAGGAAUUGACGGGGUCAUAGCUGUUUCC
rnacentral:rRNA from 1 species